rnacentral:misc_RNA from 1 species
UCUCCGUUGGUGAACCAGCGGAGGGAUCAUUACAGAGUUAUCUAACUCCCAAACCAUUGUGAACUUACCACUUGUUGCCUCGGCAGAACCUACCCUGUAACCUACCCGGGAUCAGCUACCUAGUAGCUGAGUUCGACGUGGGCUACCCUGUAGCGGGCUGCCGGCGGACCACUAAACUCUGUUAUACUAUUGUAAUCUGAGCGUCUUAUUUUAAUAAGUUAAAACUUUCAACAACGGAUCUCUUGGUUCUGGCAUCGAUGAAGAACGCAGC